rnacentral:rRNA from 1 species
UACAGGGGGGCAAGCGUUGUUCGGAAUUACUGGGCGUAAAGGGCUUGUAGGUGGCCAACUAAGUCCGACGUGAAAUCCCUAGGCUUAACCUAGGAACUGCGUCGGAUACUGGAUGGCUUGAAUCCGGGAGAGGGAUGCGGAAUUCCAGGUGUAGCGGUGAAAUGCGUAGAUAUCUGGAGGAACACCGGUGGCGAAGGCGGCAUCCUGGACCGGUAUUGACACUGAAAAGCGAAAGCCAGGGGAGCAAACGGG